ACGCACGCUGGCGGCAUGCCUAACACAUGCCAGUCGAACGAGACCUUCGGGUCUAGUGGCGCACGGGUGCGUCACGCGUGGGAAUCUGCCCUUCGGUUGGGAAUAACUGAGAGAAAUUUCAGCUAAUACCUUAUAAUGUCUUCGGACCAAAGAUUUAUCGCCGAGGGAUGAGCCCGCGUAGGAUUAGGUAGUUGGUGGGGUAAUGGCCUACCAAGCCGACGAUCCUUAGCUGGUCUGAGAGGAUGAUCAGCCACACUGGGACUGAGACACGGCCCAGACUCCUACGGGAGGCAGCAGUGGGGAAUAUUGGACAAUGGGCGAAAGCCUGAUCCAGCAAUGCCGCGUGAGUGAUGAAGGCCUUAGGGUUGUAAAGCUCUUUUACCCGGGAUGAUAAUGACAGUACCGGGAGAAUAAGCUCCGGCUAACUCCGUG
rnacentral:rRNA from 1 species